ACCUGGGUGGCUCAGUCGGUUGAGCGUCUGACUUUGGCUCAGGUCAUGAUCUCACGGUUUGUGGGUUUGAGCCUCGCAUCAGGCU
rnacentral:tRNA from 1 species